rnacentral:rRNA from 1 species
GGCGCCCCUUGGACAAGACUGACGCUCAGGUGCGAAAGCGUGGGGAGCAAACAGGAUUAGAUACCUGGUAGUCACGCUGUAAACGAUGUCGAUUUGGAGGUUGUUCCCUUGAGGAGUGGCUUCCGGAGCUAACGCGUUAAAUCGACCGCUGGGGAGUACGGCCGCAAGGUUAAAACUCAAAUGAAUUGACGGGGGCCCGCACAAGCGGUGGAGCAUGUGGUUUAAUUCGAUGCAACGCGAAGAACCUUACCUACUCUUGACAUCCAGAGAAUUUAGCAGAGAUGCUUUAGUGCCUUCGGGAACUCUGAGACAGGUGCUGCAUGGCUGUCGUCAGCUCGUGUUGUGAAAUGUUGGGUUAAGUCCCGCAACGAGCGCAACCCUUAUCCUUUGUUGCCAGCACAUUAUGGUGGGAACUCAAAGGAGACUGCCGGUGAUAAACCGGAGGAAGGUGGGGAUGACGUCAAGUCAUCAUGGCCCUUACGAGUAGGGCUACACACGUGCUACAAUGGCGUAUACAAAGAGAAGCGACCUCGCGAGAGCAAGCGGAACUCAUAAAGUACGUCGUAGUCCGGAUUGGAGUCUGCAACUCGACUCCAUGAAGUCGGAAUCGCUAGUAAUCGUAGAUCAGAAUGCUACGGUGAAUACGUUCCCGGGCCUUGUACACACCGCCCGUCACACCAUGGGAGUGGGUUGCAAAAGAAGUAGGUAGCUUAACCUUCGGGAGGGCGCUUACCACUUUGUGAUUCAUGACUGGGGUGAAGUCGUAACAAGGUAACCA